rnacentral:rRNA from 1 species
GUAACACGUGGGAAUUUAUCCGGAAGUGGGGGAUAGCUUGCCGAAAGGCAAAUUAAUACCGCAUAUGCCCGUAAGGGCAAAGUGGGGGACCGCAAGGCCUCACGCUAUCGGAGGAGCCCGCGCCCUAUCAGCUAGUUGGUGAGGUAAUGGCUCACCAAGGCUUAGACGGGUAGCUGGUCUGAGAGGACGACCAGCCACACUGGAACUGAGACACGGUCCAGACACCUACGGGUGGCAGCAGUCGAGGAUUUUUCUCAAUGGGGGCAACCCUGAAGGAGCGACGCCGCGUGGAGGAUGAAGGGCUUCGGCUCGUAAACUCCUGUCACCGACGAACAAGGCAUCCGGAUUAAUAAAUCGGAUGCUUGAUGGUAGUCGGAGAGGAAGGGGCGGCUAACUCUGUGCCAGCAGCCGCGGUGAUACAGAGGCCCCAAGCGUUGUUCGGAUUUACUGGGCGUAAAGGGUGUGUAGGGGGUCGGGUAAGUUUGACGUGAAAUCCCGUUGCUCAACAACGGAACUGCGUCGAAUACUGCUCGGCUGGAGGUUCGGAGAUGAGGGCGGAAUUCUCGGUGUAGCGGUGAAUGCGUAGAUAUCGAGAGGAACGCCGACGGCGAAAGCAGCCCUCAAGACGAAAUCUGACCCUGAAACA